rnacentral:rRNA from 1 species
CAGCCGCCGCGGGAAUACGUAGGGUGCAAGCGUUAAUCGGAAUUACCGGGCGUAAAGCGUGCGCAGGCGGUCCGCUAAGACAGAUGCGAAAUCCCCGGGCUUAACCUGGGAACUGCAUUUGUGACUGGCGGGCUAGAGUAUGGCAGAGGGGGGUAGAAUUCCACGUGUAGCAGUGAAAUGCGUAGAGAUGUGGAGGAAUACCGAUGGCGAAGGCAGCCACCUGGGCCAAUACUGACGCUCAUGCACGAAAGCGUGGGGAGCAAACAGGAUUAGAUACCCCGGUAGUCCCUGUCUCUUAUAC